GGUUGAUCCUGCCAGUAGUCAUAUGCUUGUCUCAAAGAUUAAGCCAUGCAUGUCUAAGUAUAAACAAUUUAUACGGUGAAACUGCAGAUGGCUCAUUAAAUCAGUCAUAAUUUAUUUGAUGAUUACUUACUACAUGGAUAACCGUAGUAAUUCUAGAGCUAAUACAUGCGUAAAGUCCCGACUCUCGCGGGGAGGGAUGUAUUUGUUAGAUACAAAACCAAUGCGGGGUAGCAAUAUCCCGGUUUGAGGUGAAUCAUAACAACUGUUCGAAUCGCAUGGCCUCGCGCCGGCG
rnacentral:rRNA from 1 species